CAACAGAGAGAAGCAAUACCGCGAGGUGGAGCAAAACUUCAAAAAUGGUCUCAGUUCGGACUGUAGGCUGCAACUCGCCUACACGAAGUUGGAAUUGCUAGUAAUCGUGGAUCAGCAUGCCACGGUGAAUACGUUCCCGGGUCUUGUACACACCGCCCGUCACACCAUGGGAGCUGGUAACACCCGAAGUCAGUAGUCUAACCGCAAGGAGGACGCUGCCGAAGGUGGGAUUAGCGACUGGGGUGAAGUCGUAACAAGGUAAC
rnacentral:rRNA from 1 species